GAAAUGCGAUACGUAGUGUGAAUUGCAGAAUUCCGUGAACCAUCGAAUCUUUGAACGCAUAUUGCGCUCGAGCCCUCGGGCAAGAGCAUGUCUGCCUCAGCGUCGGUUUACACCCUCACCCCUCCCUCUUUUUGUGGGUCAGUUGGCAUAUUGCCAGCCUAGGGGUGGAUCUGGCUUCCCCAAUCUGCCGCUUGGUGGGUUGGGUUGGCUGAAGUACAGAGGCUUAAGCAAGGACCCGAUAUGGGCUUCAACUGGAUAGGUAGCUCCGGCUUGUGCCGACUACACGAAGUUGUGGCUUGUGGAUCUUGCUAGGAGCCCAGCAGGAACGUGCCUUAGGCAUGUAUAAACAUUCGACCUGAGCUCAGGCAAGGCUACCCGCUGAACUUAA
rnacentral:misc_RNA from 1 species